rnacentral:rRNA from 1 species
UUUUAUUUAAAUAGCUGCNGUAUAAAUAACUGUACAAAGGUAGCAUAAUAAUUAGUUUUUUAAAUGAAAACUUGUAUGAAUGAUUCGAUGAAAUAAAAACUGUCUCAAUUUAAAUAAAAUAACUUUUUUUUUAAGUAAAAAAACUUAAAUAAAAUUAAAAGACGAGAAGACCCUAUAGAAUUUUAUAUUAAAAAUAAAUAAUUUAUUUUUAUUUAUCUUUAAUAUUUAAUUGGGGAGAUUUUAAAAUUAAAUAAACUUUUAAUUAAAUAAUCAUAUAUUCAUGAAUUAAAUAUAAUUAAUAAAAAAUUAAAAUUAAAUUACCUUAGGGAUAACAGCAUAAUUUUUUUUAAAAGUUCAAAUUUAUAGAAAAACUUAU